GCAGCAGCCGCGGUAAUACGUAGGGGGCGAGCGUUAUCCGGAUUUAUUGGGCGUAAAGCGUGUGUAGGCGGUUUAUUAAGUCUAAGAUGAAAUACCAAGGCUUAACCUUGGUUUGUUUUGGAUACUGGUAGGCUAGAGUGUGGUAGAGGCAAAUGGAAUUCCUAGUGUAGCGGUGAAAUGCGUAGAUAUUAGGAGGAACAUCAGUGGCGAAGGCGAUUUGCUGGGCCAUUACUGACGCUGAGACACGAAAGCGUGGGGAGCAAAUAGGAUUAGAUACCCUAGUAGUCCACGCUGUAAACGAUGAGCACUAAGUGUCGGGUUACCGGUGCUGAAGUUAACACAUUAAGUGCUCCGCCUGAGUAGUACGGUCGCAAGACUGAAACUUAAAGGAAUUGGCGGGGGAC
rnacentral:rRNA from 1 species